UCAUUCGAGCCCGAAGUAAAUGACGCUUUUGCCCUUGGUGCUUACGUGAAUUACAGUCGGCCAUCGUUUGUUUUUCUUCUUAUGCGUUGGUCUUUCUAUAUUUUCAGAAUUUUUGAGUAGAAGAGACUGGAAACGCCGAGAAUAUCUAUCAGAUUCUAGAUCUAUCUAAUCACUGUUCUGGCAAUUUACCUUUGUACUAUUCAUAAUCUGAGCAUAUAAGCCAUCAGAUUGACUCACGAGUGGCUUCGGGAACUCUCCAUUUACGUCGACUCCAGCUCCUCCACUGUUUGCGAUCUUCGAUCAACGUCAACCUCCAUAAAAACUGAGUGUUCAGAAUUGUCAUGCAUCAAUUCAUCAACCACAGUUUGAAAUUGGAUUAAGGCUUGCAGAACCUUACACUUUCAUCAAUUAUUGUUGAGCUUCAACCAGGAACUAUGGCUGGUUGCUUCUUAUGAAUUAGCAAGCCUAAAGCGUUUUUAGUGGAGAAAUAAGUGAAUGGUGCGCUUCAACAAAUCAGCUUGGACAUCUAUCGAUAGCUUCUACAAUGACUAUAAAAUGAUGCACCUACAAGAUCUACAGAGAUUGGAAGGAGUUCUAUAUGUUUCAAGAGUACAUCAACACCAUUAAUGAUCUGUAAUAGUUUUGUAUCAAUGUUCGCGCCUUAGGAGAUUAUAGUUACAGUUGCCACUGAUUUUGGAGUGAAACCUACUCUUGCUCUUUGGGUUCAUAGAAUCCAGAAAGAAAGCGUGGGCUAUGUAGCCUCAUUUAGCGUUUAACUACCAAAAGAUAACAAUUGUUUAUAUACUCUAAUCAACUGAAAACACAUAUCGAUAAUAAAAAUACCCGCAGCAAAGCGCGGGCUAUCUAUCUAGUACUAUUGAAUUAAUGACCAAUGCUACCAGUUGGUCACUAACACUUUUAGGACCAACUAAAUUCAUUUACCCGCCCAUUAUUCAAACUUUAAUGACCAAAAGUUUUAAUAGUAGUGACCAUUCAUGUUGGGUCACUGAUAUUUUUGAACUUCAUAAUGCGUGGUUUCCUUUUAGUGACCAAAACUUUUCAGUUGGAGGGAUUUUUUCUCUUAAACCUUGGAGUAGGCGGGCAUUUAAAAAAUCAAACUCUUUUCCAAGCGCGGCAUGCUAAAGGGUCUAUUUUUAAGUGAAGACCCAAAAAAAAUUAAAAUCCCUAGUUCACAUUUCUCAGACGUCAGACCCAGAUCUUCAUCGUCCUUCUCGGCUUCUCCCUCACUCCUCUCUUCUGUUCCCGAGUCAUGGUGGGUCGAGCCCUGAAUUCCGACCACCUUGGACAGCCUAUAGGAGUCGGUGACCGUGUCACUCGACCUCAAUUUACUGGACAGAGAUCCCUGAUUUCUCAGCUUCGAGCUGAGCAAAUUACGAUUCGGUUUCAAUAUCCUGGAUUAUAGGUUUGUUUUUGGUGAGCAAGCUUGGAGAUUUGAUUUUGUGGUUGGAUUUGAGAAUUGGGAAUUUUUUGAGAAUUUGAAUUUUUUGCUGCUUCAUCGAUUUUUGUUGCAAGACCAUAUAGAGGAAGCUGAGAAAUCAAUUGUUAUGCGAAGCUGAGGGCUUUUCUUCUUGGUGCAGGAGUUUAUUGUACCAGCAAGAAAACUGUACCAAAUAUUUGCUCAAAGGGUAAAUGCGAAGGACCUGGUAAACAAAAAAUAAAGCUUGAUCCUGACCCCAAGAAGCGGCUGACAGCUCAAGAAUUACUUGCUAAUUAGAAUCAUCCUUGGAUACAAACUGCCAAGAAGACCCCAGAUGUUCCACUUGGUGAGACUGUGAGACAAAAGGCUAAAACAAUUUUCUGUAAUGAACAAACUGAAAAAGAAAAAGAAAAAGAAGAAGAGCUCUUGGGGUCAUAGCCUAGCAUUUCUCAGUUGAGGAAGUAGCGGGCAUAAGGGAGGCAUUUCAACUGAUAGAUACUGGCAAGAAAGGCAAGGCAUUUCAAUUGAUGGAUACUGAUAAGAAAGACAAGAGAUAGUGGCAAUGAAGGCUAGAGCCGCUCAACAAAAUGAAGAGUUAGAGGCA